rnacentral:rRNA from 1 species
GCCUGCCUACGGGGCGCAGCAGUCGAGAAUCAUUCACAAUGGGGGAAACCCUGAUGCAGCGACGCCGCGUGAGCGAGGAAGUACCUCGGUAUGUAAAGCUCUGUCAGCAGAGAAGAAAAUGACAGUACCUGACCAAGAAGCCCCGGCUAACUACGUGCCAGCAGCCGCGGUAAUACGUAGGGGGCAAGCGUUAUCCGGAUUCACUGGGCGUAAAGGGAGCGCAGGCGGCACGGCAAGUCUGAUGUGAAAACCAGGGGCUCAACCCCGGGACUGCAUUGGAAACUGCCGGGCUGGAGUGCCGGAAG